rnacentral:rRNA from 1 species
GACGAACGCUGGCGGCGCGCCUAACACAUGCAAGUCGAACGAGCGAGAGAGAGCUUGCUUUCUCGAGCGAGUGGCGAACGGGUGAGUAACGCGUGAGGAACCUGCCUCAAAGAGGGGGACAACAGUUGGAAACGACUGCUAAUACCGCAUAAGCCCACGACCCGGCAUCGGGUAGAGGGAAAAGGAGCAAUCCGCUUUGAGAUGGCCUCGCGUCCGAUUAGCUGGUUGGUGAGGUAACGGCCCACCAAGGCGACGAUCGGUAGCCGGACUGAGAGGUUGAACCAGCACAAUUGGACUAAGACACGGCCCCGACUCCUACGGGAAGGUGGAGUGGGGAAUAUUGCACAAUGAGGGAAGCCCUGAUGCAGCGACGCCGCGUAGAAGAGGAAGGUCUUCGGAUUGUAAACUCCUGUUGUUGAGGAAGAGAAUGACGGUACUCAACAAGGAAGUGACGGCUAACUACGUG